GUUGAACGCUGGCGGCAUGCUUUACACAUGCAAGUCGAACGGAAACAUGAAAGAGCUAGCUCUUUUGAUGUCGAGUGGCGAACGGGUGAGUAAUACAUCGGAACAUGUCCUUUUGUGGGGGAUAACUACUCGAAAGAGUAGCUAAUACCGCAUAAGACCUAAGGGUGAAAGCGGGGGACCUUCGGGCCUCGCGCAGAUGGAGUGGCCGAUGACUGAUUAGCUAGUUGGUGGGGUAAAGGCCUACCAAGGCGACGAUCAGUAGCUGGUCUGAGAGGACGACCAGCCACAUUGGGACUGAGACACGGCCCAAACUCCUACGGGAGGCAGCAGUGGGGAAUUUUGGACAAUGGGGGGAACCCUGAUCCAGCCAUGCCGCGUGCAGGAAGAAGGCCUUCGGGUUGUAAACUGCUUUUGUUAGGAACGAAAAGGUGGAUACUAAUAAUGUCUACUGAUGACGGUACCUAAAGAAUAAGCACCGGCUAACUACGUGCCAGCCGCCGCGGUAAGAC
rnacentral:rRNA from 1 species